UAAGGAAUAUUGGUCAAUGGACGCAAGUCUGAACCAGCCAUGCCGCGUGAAGGAUGAAGGUCCUCUGGAUUGUAAACUUCUUUUAUCUGGGACGAAAACGGGAUUUUUAUCUCAAUUGACGGUACCAGAGGAAUAAGCACCGGCUAACUCCGUGCCAGCAGCCGCGGUAAUACGGAGGGUGCGAGCGUUAUCCGGAUUUACUGGGUUUAACGGGUGCGUAGGUGGGCUUAUAAGUCAGUGGUGAAAUCUCCGAGCUUAACUUGGAAACUGCCGUUGAUACUAUAGGUCUUGAAUUAUCUGGAGGUAAGCGGAAUAUGUCAUGUAGCGGUGAAAUGCUUAGAUAUGACAUAGAACACCAAUUGCGAAGGCAGCUUACUACAUAUAAAUUGACGCUGAGGCACGAAAGCGUGGGGAUCAAACA
rnacentral:rRNA from 1 species